rnacentral:rRNA from 1 species
CUCUUAAAGAAUUUAAUUUUAAGUAUAAUCUGCCCAAUGAUAUUUAUAUUUAAUGGCUGCAAUAUUUUAAUUGUACUAAGGUAGCAUAAUAAUUUGUUUUUUAAUUAAAAACUAGAAUAAAUGAUUCAAUGAAAUAUAAACUUUAUAAAUUAUUUAAAUUUAAAUUUUUAUUUAAGUUAAAAAACUUAAAUAUUAAAAAAAGACGACAAGACCCUAUAGAAUUUUAUUUAUAAAUAAAAUUAUAUAUUAAUAAUAUAUAAUUAUUUUAUAUAAAUUUAAUUGGGGUAAUUUAAAAAUAAAAAAAAUUUUUUUAAAAUUAUACAAUAAUUAUUGAAUAAUAUAUCUUAAAAUUUAAAUUAAUAAAAUUAAUUACCUUAGGGAUAACAGCAUAAUUUUUUUUAAAAGAUCUUAUUAAUAAAAAAGAUUAU